rnacentral:rRNA from 1 species
GACGAACGCUGGCGGCGUGCCUAACACAUGCAAGUAGAACGCCGUUGCGCACGGGUGAGUAACGCGUCGGUAACUGCCUCAUAGCGGGGGAUUAAUAUCGGAAACGAUAGCCAAUACCCCAUACAGUGAGAUGGACCUGCGUUGUAUUGGCUAGUUGGUGGGGUAAAGGCUCACCAAGGCGACGAUACAUAGCCGACCUGAGAGGGGGGUCGGCCCAACUGGGACCUGGACACGGCCCAAGCUCCUAAUGGAGGCAAGCAUAGGGAAUCUUCGGCAAUUGACGGAAGUCUGAACGAGCAACGCCGCGGGAGUUAAGAAGGUUUUCGGAGCGUAAAGCUCUGUUGUGAGAGAAGCGGUACCUAACCAGAAAGGGACGGCUAACUACGUGCCAGCAGCCGCGGUAAUAC